AGGAGCAUGUGGUUUAAUCGAUGAUACGGCGAGGACCUUACCUGGGCUUAAAUGCUUAAUGACGUACUGGGAAACUGGUAUUUCUUCGGACAUUUUGCAAGGUGCUGCAUGGUUGUCGUCAGCUCGUGCCGUGAGGUGUCGGGUUAAGUCCCAUAACGAGCGCAACCCCUAUUGUUAGUUGCCAUCAGGUCAUGCUGGGGACUCUAACAAAACUGCCCGCGUAAGCGUGGAGGAAGGUGGGGAUGACGUCAAAUCAGCACGGCCCUUACGUCCAGGGCUACACACGUGCUACAAUGGCCGGUACAGAGGGCAGCCACUUGGUGACAAGGAGCAAAUCUCAAAAGCCGGUCUCAGUUCGGAUCGGAGUCUGCAACCCGACUCCGUGAAGCUGGAAUCGCUAGUAAUCGCGCAUCAGCCAUGGCGCGGUGAAUACGUUCCCGGGCCUU
rnacentral:rRNA from 1 species